UCUCCGUUGGUGAACCAGCGGAGGGAUCAUUACUGGAAUCGCAAGAUCCCACAACCCCUGUGAACCUACCGAAACGUUGCCUCGGCGGGCGCCCGGCCCCGCGCCGGGCGUCGAGCCCGCCGGUGGCCCACUACUCUGUCUCUGCAGCGUGGCAUCUCCGAGUACAAGAAAAACAAGUCAAAACUUUCAACAACGGAUCUCUUGGCUCUA
rnacentral:misc_RNA from 1 species